UGAGGAAUAUUGGUCAAUGGGCGCGAGCCUGAACCAGCCAAGUAGCGUGAAGGAUGAAGGUCCUAUGGAUUGUAAACUUCUUUUAUACGGGAAUAAAGUGGUCCACGUGUGGGCUUUUGCAUGUACCGUAUGAAUAAGGAUCGGCUAACUCCGUGCCAGCAGCCGCGGUAAUACGGAGGAUCCGAGCGUUAUCCGGAUUUAUUGGGUUUAAAGGGAGCGUAGAUGGAUGUUUAAGUCAGUUGUGAAAGUUUGCGGCUCAACCGUAAAAUUGCAGUUGAUACUGGAUAUCUUGAGUGCAGUUGAGGCAGGCGGAAUUCGUGGUGUAGCGGUGAAAUGCUUAGAUAUCACGAAGAACUCCGAUUGCGAAGGCAGCCUGCUAAGCUGCAACUGACAUUGAGGCUCGAAAGUGUGGGUAUCAAACAGGAUUAGAUACCCUGGUAGUCCACACGGUAAACGAUGAAUACUCGCUGUUUGCGAUAUACUGCAAGCGGCCAAGCGAAAGCGUUAAGUAUUCCACCUGGGGAGUACGCCGGCAACGGUGAAACUCAAAGGAAUUGACGGGGGCCCGCACAAGCGGAGGAACAUGUGGUUUAAUUCGAUGAUACGCGAGGAACCUUACCCGGGCUUAAAUUGCAGAUGAAUUACGGUGAAAGCCGUAAGCCGCAAGGCAUCUGUGAAGGUGCUGCAUGGUUGUCGUCAGCUCGUGCCGUGAGGUGUCGGCUUAAGUGCCAUAACGAGCGCAACCCUUGUUGUCAGUUACUAACAGGUUCCGCUGAGGACUCUGACAAGACUGCCAUCGUAAGAUGCGAGGAAGGUGGGGAUGACGUCAAAUCAGCACGGCCCUUACGUCCGGGGCUACACACGUGUUACAAUGGGAGGUACAGAAGGCAGCUACCCGGCGACGGGAUGCCAAUCUCCAAAGCCUCUCUCAGUUCGGACUGGAGUCUGCAACCCGACUCCACGAAGCUGGAUUCGCUAGUAAUCGCGCAUCAGCCACGGCGCGGUGAAUACGUUCCC
rnacentral:rRNA from 1 species